rnacentral:lncRNA from 10 species
AAAAUCCUCAGCUUUGAGCUGAAGAAAAGUGGCCUGCGAGGUUGGCAGCUGAAGCUCAGUAUUCAUGGGUGGAACCGUAAACUUCACCCAACUUAACAUUCACUGUACAGCCCCUUCUUCCCGUGACAAGAGUUUUCAUAUUUUCUAGGGGUUUAUCCAAAAGCUGCCCCACAGGCCAGAUGCACUGUUUAACAAGGCUUCCGCGGCUUCUACCUUACGUCAUCCAAGAAGGCGUUUUUUUUGUUUUUGUUUUUUUUUCCUAAGGCCACUAUCACCACAAGAAUAUACGACUCGCCUGGCCAACAUGGUGAAACCCUGUCUCAGUUAACAGUUUAGGUUUGGGGAUGUCCCACCCUCCAGAGCUCCAGUGGGCGUCCUCCUGCAUGGGGGCCCCUACUAAAUAAACACCAG